rnacentral:lncRNA from 1 species
UCUUUGAAGAGAUAAUUAAAGUUAAAUGAGGUCAUGAGGGUAGGCUUUAAUCUAAUAUGACUGUGUCCUUAUAAAAAGUAUUCUUACAACAGUGCUAUGAGGUGGGUAUCAUUAUUAGUAUUAUUCUCAUUUUAUCUCUGAAGAUACAGUACACAGAGAAACUAGGUAACUUGCCCAAGGACAGAGCUACUCAGUGGUGGAGCAGGGAUAGAUUUCAAUUCAGAAACUGAGAUCUUGUCCUUAGCUAUCUUCUGUUCUACUCAUUAGUUAAUGUUGGCUCGGCACUAUUCAAAUCCCUCAGAUAACAGUGAACCAAAGCAAUUAAGUAACUGCCUUCAUCAGACUUAGA